rnacentral:rRNA from 1 species
AACGAACGCUGGCGGCAUGCCUAACACAUGCAAGUCGAACGAGACCUUCGGGUCUAGUGGCGCACGGGUGCGUAACGCGUGGGAACCUGCCCUUAGGUUCGGAAUCACUCCCCGCAAGGGGUGCUAAUACCGGAUAAUGUCUUCGGACCAAAGAUUUAUCGCCUUUGGAUGGGCCCGCGUUGGAUUAGCUAGUUGGUAGGGUAAAAGCCUACCAAGGAGACGAUCCAUAGCUGGUAUGAGAGGGUGAUCAGCCACACUGGGACUGAGACACGGCCCAGACUCCUACGGGAGGCAGCAGUGGGGAAUAUUGGACAAUGGGCGAAAGCCUGAUCCAGCAAUGCCGCGUGAGUGAUGAAGGCCUUAGGGUUGUAAAGCUCUUUUACCCGGGAUGAUAAUGACAGUACCGGGAGAAUAAGCUCCGGCUAACUCCGUG